rnacentral:tRNA from 1 species
GUCAAGAUGGCUGAGUGUUCUAAGGCGCUAGACUCAAGUUCUGGUCCUCGCUUGAGGGUGUGGGUUCUUCAAAUCCCACUUCUGACA